AAAGAAGUAGUAUGCCGCAGCGUAUCCAUAACGGGCUUUGCUGCGGAUAAUUCUUUUAUGAACCCCCUUAGGAGUGAAUAAUGGCCCGUAUAGCCGGCAUUAACAUUCCUGAU
rfam:Vibrio sp. MED222 1099517005347, whole genome shotgun sequence.